GAGUCCACCCAGGCGUGCGUCAGAUCAGCCCUGUCAACAUCACGAGAAAGACAACUUGGGUACAUGACUUUUAAAAGGUGAAAAGAGGACAGGAGAUACAAAAGAGGUAAACAAGAUCAUCUGAGAAGCAGAGAAUGUCGUUUCUAUGCUCUUUUCUUCUUUUGUGGCAGUGCAGUGAUUGAGGAUUUUAAUUUCUACUCAAUUUCAAGAAAAAAAAACAGAAGUGGGACUGAAGAAGAGAGGAUUAUUGAAGAAAUAAGAAGACUCUAAACGUCUGAAGACGCUUGACAAAGGAGCUUUAAGCUGCCUGCAGGAGACCAGCCAUGGAGGAGGAUUACAAGAGACCACCACCAUCCUAUGAAGAAGUUAUAACCGAGCAGCACACGAGCAACACUAGUCAGAGCCACACUGCUGAUAACAGGCAGGGCUGCUGCUGCAGAUGUUGCAUUAGCACCAAGAACUGUCUGAUGAGUCCGGAGUGCGGUCGAGCUCUUAACAUCGCCAGCGUGAUUGCCAUGUGUGGCAUGUGUAUUCGAAUGUUUGUCUAACACAGUCUCCUGUGGACCAUUUAUUCCAGAUCUCUCAUGUGAUUCUUGGGCCUCAUUCAUGAAAAAGUAGCACAAUAAAUUCAUAAAUCGUUUGUAAAAUCAUUCCUAUAUUCAGUGUGGCAUUUAAUUAAAUCGGCAUGAGUGACCACUUAAGGUGCGGUCACAUUUAUCAUUGUUAGAUGAAAUAGACAAGUAAUUUCAAUAGGGGUCCAAGUUAUAAGGAAUUUUCUUGAGAGCAAAAGAUUUCCCCAGGCAGAUUUCAGUUAAAGUUGGUAACACAAAUUCAUCGUGUUGAAUUGACCAACAGAAAGAUAAUGAAAAUGAAUUCUGUUUGAGAUAACAACAUGCGAUGACAAUGGGCCUUUUUUUGUCUGCAAAAUUUUGCUAAUGUGACUGUACCUUUCCAGUAUGUAAUUCCAUUCUGAAAGACAGUAGUAUUAUAUAGUUGUACUAAUAUUUUCUCUCUAAUCCAAGUCCUUUGUUUAUGUAGAGCUUUAUACAAUAUACUUUGCACAAUACUAAACAGGAAAGAAACAGAAUCAGUGAUGCAAACUUAAAAAAUAAGAGGUCAUCCAAAUAGGCCCGUAACCAGAUGAGGCCACCAAUGUCCGGACCUUGGUAAAUUUUUCAUGUUCAAAAAUAAAAUUUGUUCUUUGAAUGACUAAUUUGCUGUUAAACUCCUCAUAUGAAUGCCUGCAUG
rnacentral:lncRNA from 1 species